AUUGAACGCUGGCGGCAGGCCUAACACAUGCAAGUCGAGCGGUAGAGAGAAGCUUGCUUCUCUUGACAGCGGCGGACGGGUGAGUAAUGCCUAGGAAUCUGCCUGGUAGUGGGGGAUAACGUUCGGAAACGGACGCUAAUACCGCAUACGUCCUACGGGAGAAAGCAGGGGACCUUCGGGCCUUGCGCUAUCAGAUGAGCCUAGGUCGGAUUAGCUAGUUGGUGAGGUAAUGGCUCACCAAGGCGACGAUCCGUAACUGGUCUGAGAGGAUGAUCAGACACACUGGAACUGAGACACGGUCCAGACUCCUACGGGAGGCAGCAGUGGGGAAUAUUGGACAAUGGGCGAAAGCCUGAUCCAGCCAUGCCGCGUGUGUGAAGAAGGUCUUCGGAUUGUAAAGCACUUUAAGUUGGGAGGAAGGGCUGUAGAUUAAUACUCUGCAAUUUUGACGUUACCGACAGAAUAAGCACCGGCUAACUCUGUGCCAGCCGCCGCCGUAA
rnacentral:rRNA from 1 species